rnacentral:lncRNA from 1 species
CAAUGUGUUGCAGCCAGCACCCCUCACUUCUCAGCAGCUAUGUAGAUGCCAAGGAUUUUCUUCAUAAUACAAGCACAGUCAGAAUUGUGAUGGAUGCUCUUAAUCAAAGAAGCCCAUCUGUGUUGUUUCCACAGGCCUGUAGCUGGUCCCAUGGGCUCCUGGGCUCCAUCACAACAUUUCUAAAUUUCUGUUUAGCUCUAUAUCCUUCUCCAGCAUGUUCGCUCUAUGUUGUUUCCACAGGCCUGUAGCUGGUCCCAUGGGCUCCUGGGCUCCAUCACAACAUUUCUAAAUUUCUGUUUAGCUCUAUAUCCUUCUCCAGCAUGUUCGCUCUUAUGCUGCCCUUACGGUGGCAGCAGGGAUGCGCUGUCGUCACCUGUACUGUGUUUACUCUAGCAGAGGCUUGUUACCUUUUUUAUUUCUAUUUUUUGAUCCUUUAUUCCCACUUAAUAGAGGCACUUCUGUAGAAACCUUUAGGAUCCUGUUACCAUCUCAGACAAGUUCCAUGUUUCCAAACCAGGAGCUGUGGAUGAUACAGGUCAGAUCUGAGUUCCCUCUGGUGAAUUCCUGUCAGAGUUCAGCUGAAAUUUGGAAGCCUGUGGUUGUAGUAGCUGAUUUUGUAAAUAGUUUGUAUAAUAAAUAAAAUAUUUAAAAAAUGCUGCCUUCUUGGCUCAGAAUUCUUUGGGGGAAGUACAGAGGGAAGCUGGAACCAGCUGGUUAGUGCCAUGGGUGGGCAAAGGGCCUCUUCAGGUCUUCGGGUGUCUUGCUGAGCUGGCCUGCUGCAAGGGGCAGGAGCCAUCCUCCACCUGUGGCCUCUCAGGACACCUGAGUGAACUCAGCACCUGUGAGCUCCUGGGAAGAGAGAGGGUUCUGCUCUGGGGCUUGCAGCCUAUGGAGAGGCUUUUGUGCAGUAGGCUAGAAAAUGGGCAGAAAGUAUUUUAACAAAUCUGUUUUCUAAAUGAAUAAUGCAGUUGGUGCAAUAACUUUUUAAUCUCAUUGUGUAAUACCUGUCUCUUACUUUAAGCUGCAGAUAUUCGUACUUCUUGUGCUUAACCGUACUGUCAAGAGGGUUAGAUGAAGCCAGGAGAUGGAAAUUUUGAAUCCUUUGUGUCUGUGAAGUUGUACAAGAUGCUUUCAGAUUGCAGGCUGGAAACAAUGUACCUGCAAGUUUCUGUUGAAACAACCAGUAAGUAGUUAUAAGUUGACAGCUGGUUGCCAUCAGGACAAAAUCAAAUUGCUGUGAUUCUCUGACCUUUUCCCAGCUCUGAUGAAAGCUCUGCAUUUAUCACUGGUUUUCCCUGGACUUUUUUUCUUUGUGGCUUAAGGAUUAAAAUCAUAACUUCUAAACUUGAAAAG